UACGGAGGAUGCAAGCGUUAUCCGGAAUGAUUGGGCGUAAAGCGUCCGCAGGUGGCGAUGUAAGUCUGCUGUUAAAGAGUCUAGCUCAACUAGAUAAGAGCGGUGGAAACUACAUAGCUAGAGUACGUUCGGGGCAGAGGGAAUUCCUGGUGUAGCGGUGAAAUGCGUAGAGAUCAGGAAGAACACCAGUGGCGAAGGCGCUCUGCUAGGCCGUAACUGACACUGAGGGACGAAAGCUAGGGGAGCGAAUGGG
rnacentral:rRNA from 1 species